rnacentral:rRNA from 1 species
AACGUAGGAGGCAAGCGUUAUCCGGAUUUACUGGGCGUAAAGGGCGCGUAGGCGGCUAUCCAAGUGGCGGGUGAAAUCCCUCGGCUUAACCGAGGAACUGCCUGCCAGACUGGAUGGCUCGAGACCGGGAGAGGUGAGUGGAAUUCCCAGUGUAGCGGUGAAAUGCGUAGAUAUCCUAGGGAACACCGGUGGCGAAGGCGGGUCUCUGGGCCCGAUACUGACGCUGAGGAGCGAAAGCGUGGGGAGCGAACAGG